AUUUUAUCCUAUUAUAUUAAUGAAAAUUUGAAUAGCAACACUUUAGAUGACUGGCUGGUGAGAUAAUCUUAUUUUCCUUCAAGUGCUUGUCCUGAGCACAGGAGACAGCUGAUUCCACACAGUCUUGCUGGUUGCCAUUAAGAAUGGAAAUUUCCAAUUAAAGGUAUAUCGUCUUAAGGACCUUUCUGGCAAGCAUAAAAGAGAGGGUUUUAGUGGGAACUUGGUGACUGGUGGUUGCUACCAACACUUGCUACAGUGCCAGAGUCACUGUUCAUCCACAGAGCUGUGGCCACCAGGGGUGGAAUGUACUAACAGCAGCAAGUCCCAGUCCUGUUGUUUUAGGCAUCAAAGGUUCUGGCACGCCCUCAAUGGAAUCACGAUUAACUAUUUGUGCUGUACAGAAGCUGGGGUCUACUACGACAGCAGCUGCCCUGUGCUUGUAUGGGAAAGAGAAUAUAAGAAAAAUGUGUCUGAAUCAGAAAACAUGAAAGCAGGACACUGGAAAAAACACAGACACAGUAAGAAGGGUGUGUAUCUAGCAUAUGAUUAAUGUAAUCUCUGUCAAUUGGAACUUUAACAUUUAG
rnacentral:lncRNA from 1 species